AGGUCACACUGGCAUGUAUCAAGAUAUGACGCUUAUUUAUAAUCAAGAAAAGACUUUCAACGGUAGCGUCUUCAUCGUCAGUGAACAAGGUACCCAAAAUGGUGUACGACACUCACUGAGGUCACGAAACUACUUUAAAACAAAGUGCGGACCAACAUUUUAAACCGGCAAAUUCAAAGAAAAUGAAACAAUUUCCAACAACAUUCUGAGGGCAAACUUGUUAACAGACGAUUGUACGACGAUGCAUCUCGUGCUACGAGGUGCGCCAUGUAUGUGAAGGGAUACUGCUUAAUCGCACGAAUCCUCCACUGCAAUGCCAAAUUGCAUUCAACACUUGCGGUACUUCGAGAAAAGUAUAUAAGCCAUACAAGUGGACGUGUGAAGUGCAUAUGUAAUAAAGUAGCAACAACGAUUCAUCGGACUAUAGUAAUAAAUAAAGGUGCUAAACGUAA